UACGUAGGGGGCUAGCGUUGUCCGGAAUCAUUGGGCGUAAAGCGCGCGUAGGCGGCGCGGUAAGUCGGGUGUGAAAUCUCGGAGCUUAACUCCGAAACUGCAUUCGAUACUGCCGUGCUUGAGGACUGGAGAGGAGACUGGAAUUUACGGUGUAGCGGUGAAAUGCGUAGAUAUCGUAAGGAAGACCAGUGGCGAAGGCGGGUCUCGUGGACAGUUCCUGACGCUGAGGCACGAAGGUCAGGGGAGCAAACGGG
rnacentral:rRNA from 1 species